rnacentral:rRNA from 1 species
AGCGUUUGACAUGGCAGGACGACUUCCAGAGAUGGAUUUCUUCCCUUCGGGGACCUGCACACAGGUGCUGCAUGGCUGUCGUCAGCUCGUGUCGUGAGAUGUUGGGUUAAGUCCCGCAACGAGCGCAACCCUCGCCUUUAGUUGCCAUCAUUUAGUUGGGCACUUUAAAGGAACCGCCGGUGAUAAGCCGGAGGAAGGUGGGGAUGACGUCAAGUCCUCAUGGCCCUUACGCGCUGGGCUACACACGUGCUACAAUGGCGGUGACAGUGGGCAGCAAGCACGCGAGUGUGAGCUAAUCUCCAAAAGCCGUCUCAGUUCGGAUUGUUCUCUGCAACUCGAGAGCAUGAAGGCGGAAUCGCUAGUAAUCGCGGAUCAGCAUGCCGCGGUGAAUACGUUCCCAGGCC